rnacentral:rRNA from 1 species
AUUGAACGCUGGCGGCAUGCCUAACACAUGCAAGUCGAGCGAGCGGCGGACGGGUGAGUAAUGCCCGGGAACCUGCCUGACGUCGGGGGAUAACUACUGGAAACGGUAGCUAAUACCGCAUACCAUCUGUUUCUCCCAGAUGGGUUUCGCUGGUAGGUGGGGUAACGGCUCACCUAGGCGACGUUCCCUAGCUGGCCUGAGAGGAUGACUGGCAACACUGGAACUGGGACACGGUCCAGACUCCUACGGGAGGCAGCAGUGGGGAAUAUUGCACAAUGGGCGCAAGCCUGAUGCAGCCAUGCCGCGUGUGUGAGGAAGGCCUUCGGGUUGUAAAGCACUUUCAGCGGGGAGGCGUUACCCGCAGAGGAAGCACCGGCUAACUCCGUGCCAGCAGCCGCGGUAAUAC